GUUUACCACGGUGUGGUUCAUGACUGGGGUGAAGUCGUAACAAGGUAGCCCUAGGGGAACCUGGGGCUGGAUCACCUCCUUACU
rnacentral:rRNA from 2 species